rnacentral:tRNA from 1 species
GCGCGCGUAGCUCAACGGUAGAGCAAAUGUCUUAUACACAUUAGGUUCUAGGUUCGAAUCCUAGCGCGCGCA